AGCUCAUUAGCUAGCUCAUUGCAAAUUGUAUUAAUGCUGGAAUCAAGCUGUAUACGCAAGGAGUUUUUGAAAGCUUGCCUCUAAAGUAAAUACAUUCAGGCAUAUGCACUUUGAAAAUUAGUAUAUUCAUUCAGUAAUAGGAACAAUAUUCAUGUUUCAUGUUCAUGCUUCAUAGUCUGCUGAUUUUUUUUUUUAAGGUUCUGAUUGGAGUUUUAGGCUGGAAUCUUGGCUCUUUGAAAGACUCGUCCUCCCUUUAAGCCUCACUUCUAUUAUAUCUCUGAAUCACUACAUCAGCCACAGUGUUUCUGCUCUUUGUCCAAAGUUUUACACUGUUUUUGUGUCCAAAUCAGGCAGCUCAAUCCUUAAAGAGAGAAUGCCACAGUCUAGAAUACAAAUUCUGUGCAGAAGAGGGAGCAUUACCACAACAGGCAGCUGGUUACCAAACACUUGGAAUUCAGGGUCUUUGGGAUUACUUGAUUGCUGACCUCUUUGGUCCAACACCUGAAAACACUUGCAAACUCAGAACUCCUGACUGAGGUGGAAAACAACUUUUGUAAUAUACCCAGUAUUGGCUUACUGAUUUCAAGUGACAGAAGCAAGGUUCAUGUCUAGGGCAAUAGUAAGAGCAAAGGAAACAGACUCCAUCAAGACCUCCCAGACUGAACAGGAGACUUGCACUGCAGGUCUUGGAAACAGGAUUGCUUCUGAUUAUGCACAGUUAGUGCUUGCAGGAGUAAGACCCAGAUCUCAACUGGAAGCUCCAGGAACCACAAAGAGCAGGACUGGACAGUGUGCAAUUAAAAGGGUGAGAACUUUCAGUGGGGCAUUUCUAAACACAUUUCCUUAAGUGCUCCUUAGAAAAGGGGGAGGGAAAAUUAUUUCUUUUUUUUUUUAUUUGUUUGAAUUAAUGAAAAUAUUUAUACUAAAAAAUAAAUCAAUACUCUAAGCAGGUUGUAAGUAAAUUUCAAGUAUUUUAAAAUUUGGGUAGCACUUCAGCAAUUUUACAGAAAACAAGGCCAGCAAGUUAACAUUGAGAGCUACAACACUAACACCAAUUUCUGCUGCUACUCUUCAAACAAGUGGUAGAGAAAAUUACUUUUUUCACAUAAAGUUCUGGAAAGUUGUGUUAAAUAGGGAAAGCAAGUACAGGUGUUUCUCUGUUUUGCAAAGAUUUGCUUAUGAAAAAGGGUGAACACAACAUAAUGUAAGAUAGAAAAUGUCAAAGAAUGUCAUUAUCCCUUUGCAGCCAUGACUGAGCAUUAACCACUUUCAUGGAUGCACACAACCUUCCACAGCAAACCAGCAACCAUGUGUCACUGGGAAAAACACCACUUUUGUUCACAGUUUCAAGCUUUAAUACUUGUAAUUAAGCAUCUUUUUCAUUAUUAAAAGAAAAUGCACAGUUUGAGGUCAUGGAUAGUAUUUAUGUUUUCAGUAAAAAUGGGCUGUAAGAAAAAGAACAUCAAACAUGCCAAUUGUCUUCAAUUGUCACAGAACUGAAAGGGACAGCACAAACAUCUGACUUAUGCCAUUUCAUAUUCAGCCAUUGGCUAUUUUUUUCCACAGUAAAAUAAAUGAGUGAAAGCUGUUCCGUUUCAGAUCAAAUGAAAUUGUUAUGCUUGGGUGGGGCUUUUUGUUUGUUGUGGGUUUAUCUAAUUUUUAAAUUAUUUUUCAUGUAUUUCAUUAUUAAAUGUAUUAACCUUCUAAGAUUGAAUUUUUUAAAUAAAAAAUAAUUUCUGUU